rnacentral:rRNA from 1 species
UACGUAGGAUGCAAGCGUUGUUCGGAAUUACUGGGCGUAAAGAGUACGUAGGCGGUGACAUAAGUCUGAAAUUAAAGACAGAAGCUCAACUUCUGGAAUGUAUCGGAAACUGUGUUACUAGAGGAUAGUAGAGGAAGUCGGAAUUCUCAGUGUAGCGGUGAAAUGCGUAGAUAUUGGGAAGAACACCAGUGGCGAAAGCGGACUUCUGGGCUAUUACUGACGCUGAGGUACGAAAGUGUGGGGAGCAAACGGGAUUAGAUACCCCGGUAGUCCACACGGUAAACGAUGGAUACUAGGUGUAACUGGCUUCGACCCCAGUUGUGCCGUCGCUAACGCAUUAAGUAUCCCGCCUGGGGAGUAUGGCCGCAAGGUUGAA